ensembl:misc_RNA Metazoa_SRP Metazoan signal recognition particle RNA
GCCAGGCAUGGUGGCGCAUGCUUGUAGUCCCGGCUACUCAGGAGGCUGAAGCAGAUGGAUCACUUGAGGCCAGGAGGUUGAGACUGCAGUGAGCUAUAAUAGUGCCACUGCACUCCUGCCUGGGCAACAGAGUGAGACUCUGCCUAUA